rnacentral:rRNA from 1 species
ACGUAGGGUGCGAGCGUUAAUCGGAAUUACUGGGCGUAAAGCGUGCGCAGGCGGCUUCGCAAGUCAGACGUGAAAUCCCCGGGCUUAACCUGGGAAUGGCGUUUGAAACUACGGAGCUGGAGUGUGGCAGAGGGAGGUAGAAUUCCACGUGUAGCGGUGAAAUGCGUAGAUAUGUGGAGGAAUACCGAUGGCGAAGGCGGCCCUCUGGACCAGCACUGACGCUGAGGCACGAAAGCGUGGGGAGCAGACAGGA